GAUUCUCACAAAGGCUUCAGGGAGACGUGACUUGUCGGAGACUAUGAUCACGUCUUGAGCCUCUAUUAUCUUCACCCUUAGGUACCAUAGCCGAGGGGAAUGGUAGACCUUGGACCGGAGGUUAGCGGAGAUAAUGUCGGAGCUGUCUGAAGAUGUUAACGAGUCUGAGAAGACAGCAUCACCGAAGGCUUCAUCAGCUUGAGUACCUUCCCAAACAGCAAGCAUGAUCUCAGCUCUCUUCUUCUCACCUCUCUUGUUCUCAAGUCUAUACCACUCUGGAGCUAAAGGACUAUCCGGAGGGACACGAGAUUGAACCUCAUUGAGAUCAAACCGGACAGUGCCAACGUAAUCAUCUAGGACAAGGUCUUUAUCCUUGACGACUAUUUCGAGAACGUUGGACUGAAGAUUCUCUUUAGCAAAUGCAAAGACUUGGUUCCACUCCGGAUCCGAGUUCUUGUCCAAAUGUCUUGUAACUCCUUUGAAGUUUCCUAUUUUUACUUCCACGUAAGGGUCUAGGCUUCCCGUUAGGUCUCUGUCGGGGAGAUCACGCGCCUUCACGACUCUCACGAAGAGAAACCUCAUCUCUUCGACGAGAUCGUAUGUGCCUACGGGCCUCUGCGUACCACGAACUAUUCGUCCUCCAAUGAUCCGUCCACCUCCGAGGAAAGGGCUCGUCUCUUUCACAGUGAAAUCUGAUGAUGGGCCUGGGCCGUUGUGAAGAAGAUGAAAGAGUUCUAUAUAGAGACAUAUAUAUGUUUGUUUGAAUCCUCACGAAACACGAUUCAGAGCAUAGAGUCUGUCAUGGCCGGAAGUCGCCGGAAAAAGUUGAGCGGAGCCGAUGGAAUGCGGUGUCGGAGCUUAGGGUGCCUCAUGAAGUAGUAACCGGAGAGGAGAGCAAAGAGCUUAAAAGGUGUUAUGUAGAGAACCAUUGCAACGAUGAAACAGAACGUCACAAAUAUUGCGGUAGCGCGUGGAUCACGCCAGCUCAGCAGAGCCUGCACGCGCUCUCCCUGUGCCGCUAUGUCUCCAACCACCGUCUGUAUCUUCCCCGCCACAAUUCUCAGCCGAUCAUACCUGUUAAACAACCGUGUUAGAGGUUCCAGGUUCGAGAGACCAUAGGGACGAAACUAAUAUUACAUUUAUUGUUUCGGGUCGGGAGGAUUACUAGCUUCGGUCCCGAACCUCAUAGUAUUCAAAAAAAUAAAUUAAGUAAAUAACUUGAUGAGUUACCUCAUUUUGACAAUGUCUGGAGCCUUCAUGGUCGGGAAGAUAUCAAACUCUUCGUCGAGCUCAUCAGCAUUCACACUCUCCGCGUAAGACAGUUUGGUAUCCAUAUGAGGAGGAAACCUCGGCCUAAUCCUGUAGUUCCACAACCCAAUCACAGCCAUAUACAGAAACACAGUCGGCAAAAUCAUCUCCGGGAACAUCACAAGCAUCGUGUACAACACAUGCACAAGCCCCGUCGUCACCGGCGUCCUCCAGCUGCAAACUUCUCCCAUCCAUUUCCACACCGACAUCACUCCCGAGAACACCGCGGUGAACCUAAAGAAGUUAGCCUUGCUUCUCCUCAUGCUGAAGAGAUGAGUCUUGGCAUCCGUCAUGUACUCGACAACUUCGCGUCUAAGCGGCGGCUCCGACCGUCCUAAGCGAGCCACGAUUAUGUUGAGAGCCUGGACUCUAAGAAUUUCUUGUAGGUUUACGGAUAAAGGCUGCGUGUAAUGCAUUUUAGGCAAGAGAGGUUUGGUGUAUUUCAUCAGCGUGUUGGAGACGGAUGUGCAGGUGAACCUCACUGCUAAGUGAAGCUCGCCUCUUUUCUUGAGACCAGAUGGGGUUAGAACUAGUAAAGGGUACGCGUUCGUGUAUACGCGGCCCGUCUGAAGAGUAGAGAGUCUGAUACGGACUUUCCCAAUGGUCUGAUCUCUGCCAUUUCCAGAUGAAAAGUGACCGUUGUCGAAUACGCAGAUGGUUAAGACCGUCGCGGGGUCUAAAACCUCCCAUGUGUACUGCUCAUUGUACUUUGGAUUCAAGCUGUUGAUCACAGUUCUCGACCGAACCCACUUGUGACCGUACUUGGCAACAACGUACGUGUCCGAAGUACCUUUCCCGUCUCGGUUUUUAACCGGGUGGAGCCCGUUUGCGUUGAGUAUCCCAAGCUCCAAGACACCGAUCGCUUGUUUCCAGAGCUGUCUCGCCGUUGGCCUUAGAUCGCUGCUGUAGUAAGUAGACUCGUCAAAGACAUGGUAGCCUCCUUCAAGAACCGCAGCCACGUGGAGCCUAGUAGCGAACUUUACUCUCUUGGCUUUGUCCUCAUCCAUAGCGUCUGAGAUCGAGUCUUCGAGAUGAAACCAACGGCUACGGAACGCUCUAUCAUCAUUACGUCUCUCGAUAGCGGAGAGAGGGAUCACAGCUUUGCCUACAGGCUCGUCUCUGUUGGCUGCGGAGUGGUCUUCCACCGAGAGGACCAGGUGUUCCUCAAACGGCUCCGCGACUACGAACAUGAACUCAUUGUCCCAUCUCGGAUGAAAGCUUCUUUGAGCCACUUUAGUCUUUAACAUCUGGUUACCGACCUGGAUUCUCACAAAGGCUUCAGGGAGACGUGACUUGUCGGAGACUAUGAUCACGUCUUGAGCCUCUAUUAUCUUCACCCUUAGGUACCAUAGCCGAGGGGAAUGGUAGACCUUGGACCGGAGGUUAGCGGAGAUAAUGUCGGAGCUGUCUGAAGAUGUUAACGAGUCUGAGAAGACAGCAUCACCGAAGGCUUCAUCAGCUUGAGUACCUUCCCAAACAGCAAGCAUGAUCUCAG
rnacentral:lncRNA from 1 species